AUUGAACGCUGGCGGCAGGCCUAACGCAUGCAAGUCGAGCGGAUGAAGGGAGCUUGCUCCUGGAUUCAGCGGCGGACGGGUGAGUAAUGCCUAGGAAUCUGCCUGGUAGUGGGGGAUAACGCCCGGAAACGGGCGCUAAUACCGCAUACGUCCUGAGGGAGAAAGUGGGGGAUCUUCGGACCUCACGCUAUCAGAUGAGCCUAGGUCGGAUUAGCUAGUUGGUGGGGUAAAGGCCUACCAAGGCGACGAUCCGUAACUGGUCUGAGAGGAUGAUCAGUCACACUGGAACUGAGACACGGUCCAGACUCCUACGGGAGGCAGCAGUGGGGAAUAUUGGACAAUGGGCGAAAGCCUGAUCCAGCCAUGCCGCGUGUGUGAAGAAGGUCUUCGGAUUGUAAAGCACUUUAAGUUGGGAGGAAGGGCAGUAAGUUAAUACCUUGCUGUUUUGACGUUACCAACAGAAUAAGCACCGGCUAACUUCGUG
rnacentral:rRNA from 1 species